GAUGAACGCUGGCGGCGUGCCUAAUACAUGCAAGUCGAGCGAACAGACGAGGAGCUUGCUCCUCUGACGUUAGCGGCGGACGGGUGAGUAACACGUGGAUAACCUACCUAUAAGACUGGGAUAACUUCGGGAAACCGGAGCUAAUACCGGAUAACAUGUUGAACCGCAUGGUUUAACAGUGAAAGACGGUCUUGCUGUCACUUAUAGAUGGAUCCGCGCCGCAUUAGCUAGUUGGUAAGGUAACGGCUUACCAAGGCAACGAUGCGUAGCCGACCUGAGAGGGUGAUCGGCCACACUGGAACUGAGACACGGUCCAGACUCCUACGGGAGGCAGCAGAAGGGAAUCUUCCGCAAUGGGCGAAAGCCUGACGGAGCAACGCCGCGUGAGUGAAGAAGGUCUUCGGAUCGUAAAACUCUGUUACUAGGGAAGAACAAAUGUGUAAGUAACUAUGCACGUCUUGACGGUACCUAAUCAGAAAGCCACGGCUAACUACGUG
rnacentral:rRNA from 1 species